AUUGAACGCUGGCGGCAUGCUUUACACAUGCAAGUCGAACGGCAGCGCGGGCUUCGGCCUGGCGGCGAGUGGCGAACGGGUGAGUAAUGCAUCGGAACGUGCCCAGUAGUGGGGGAUAGCCCGGCGAAAGCCGGAUUAAUACCGCAUACGACCUGAGGGUGAUAGCGGGGGACCGAAAGGCCUCGCGCUAUUGGAGCGGCCGAUGUCGGAUUAGCUAGUUGGUGGGGUAAAGGCUUACCAAGGCGACGAUCCGUAGCUGGUCUGAGAGGACGACCAGCCACACUGGGACUGAGACACGGCCCAGACUCCUACGGGAGGCAGCAGUGGGGAAUUUUGGACAAUGGGGGCAACCCUGAUCCAGCCAUGCCGCGUGCGGGAAGAAGGCCUUCGGGUUGUAAACCGCUUUUGUUCGGGAAGAAAUCCUCUGGGCUAAUACCCCGGGGGGAUGACGGUACCGGAAGAAUAAGCACCGGCUAACUACGUG
rnacentral:rRNA from 1 species